rnacentral:tRNA from 1 species
GCCUGGGUGGCUCAGUCGGUUGGGCAUCCGACUUCGGCUCAGGUCAUGAUCUCACAGCUCUGUGAGUUCGAGCCCCACAUCAGGCU